UUUGGGAAAUGAUGCGAAACGAUAUAUCGCUAUUUUCAGAGGCUUUGCUCUGCUGAAUGUAUCAUAUUUGCACGUCAGUCUGAUCCCAUU